rnacentral:tRNA from 1 species
AGGGGCAUAGUACAAAGGUAGUAUAGAGGUCUCCAAAACCUUUGGUGUGGGUUCGAUUCCUACUGCCCCUGCCA